GAUGAAGAACGCAGCGAAACGCGAUAAGUAAUGUGAAUUGCAGAAUUUAGUGAAUCAUCGAACUUUUGAACGCACAUUGCGCCCGCCAGUAUUCUGGCGGGCAUGCCUGUUCGAGCGUCAUUUCAACCAUCAAGCCCCCGGCUUGUGUUGGGGACCUGCGGCUGCCGCAGGCCCUGAAAAGCAGUGGCGGGCUCGCUGUCACACCGAGCGUAGUAGCAUACAUCUCGCUCUGGGCGUGCUGCGGGUUCCGGCCGUUAAACCACCUUCAUAACCCAAGGUUGACCUCGGAUCAGGUAGGAAGACCCGCUGAACUUAAGCAUAUCAAUAAGCGGAGGA
rnacentral:misc_RNA from 1 species